rnacentral:rRNA from 1 species
AUGCUGAGAAUUGAUAUUGGCACACCAAUCACCACAAUAAUGCAGAAUUUGAAGAAGAAAUAUGAAGUAGAGAUCUCAACCCAUAUGGCCUAUAGGGCUAGGAAACAAGCAUUGAAGGUUGUCCAAGGAGACCAGAGAGGUCAAUACACUAGGAUUAGAGAUUAUUUGCAGGCUGUUUUGGACACAAACCCAGGAAGUAGAUGUGUUGUGACCACUAAGCAUUUGCCACAGCACCCAAGCAAGAACCCAAGGUUCCAUGGCCUGUUCUACUGUCUUAAUGCUUGCAAAGAAGGGUUUUUAAAUGGAUGUAGGCCAUUCAUAGGGGUAGAUGGUUGUUUUAUCAAGCUGUCAACAGGUCAGCAGAUCCUUGCUGCAACAGGAAGGGAUGGAAACAACAACAUAUACCCUAUAGCAUUUGGAGUUGUUGACAAAGAGGACACAGACAGCUGGACCUGGUUCUUAACACAACUGAAAGAUGCACUUGGUGGAGAAAGUGGAAAGUUUGGGUAUUAUACUAUCAUUUCUGAUAGGCAGAAGGGCCUUUUAAAUGCAGUAAACCAUGUUUUUCCCAAUUGUCCACAAAGAUUCUGCCUUAGACACAUUUAUCAGAAUUUCCAAACUGCUGGUUUUAGAGGUGAUGAGUUAAAGAAACACAUGGAUGCAGCUAGCUACUCUUAUACUAAGAAUGAACACCUAGUUGCAAUGAAUGAUUUGAAAAGCGAGUGUAAGGCAGCUUGGGCAUGGCUUAAUAAAGUACCAGUUCAUACAUGGGCUAGACAUGCAAUGGAUUUUACAUGCAAGACUGACCUAGUUGUGAACAACAUCAGUGAGGUGUUUAACAAAAUGAUCCUAGAUGUUAGAGGGAAGCCAAUAAAGACCAUGCUGGAAGGAAUUAGGACUAAAUUGAUGGUCAAAUUUAACACCAAUAGAACUAAGACAGAGACAGCAAAUUGGGAGAUUUGCCCAACAUAUGCAGAGAUGUUAGAGGAGGCAAAGUACAACUCAAGGUGGUGCCAAUCUUUGAUGGCUGGUCCUAACAUUUACCAAGUUAGUGUAGUGGAGAUAACACCUACUUAG